rnacentral:tRNA from 1 species
CUAUUUUGGCAGAAAAAAUGUAAUGAUUUUAGAAAUCAUAAAUAUAUGUUUAUUAAUAUAUAUGUAGUA